ACAGUUCGGAUUUCAACCCCAUGAUUUAUAUGCAAGCUUUCCCCUGAGUCUGCAUAAACAAAAUUGCUGUGUGUAGUCUUUGCCUAUCUCCUAUGAUGGGCUUUUUUUUGU
rnacentral:other from 1 species